UUGCGGUGCAAUGUACGUCA
rnacentral:siRNA from 1 species